UGAUGUCCUGCAUCUAACGCGGUGUAACCC
rnacentral:piRNA from 1 species